UAUGUCCUUACUCUAGUCCCUCCGUUGAUAUUGUCUCUGCUCGAUCCGGAGAUAUUUUUCAAAGCAUUGGAUUUUGCUGGGACUUAUGGAGUGCUGGUGUUGUUUGGAGUCCUUCCAGCAGCAAUGUCAUGGUCGGAUAGAUACUCGGGGUCAUCGGAGACUCCCACGUUGGUUCCCGGAGGAAAAGGAAAAGUGACGCUCUCACUGGUAAUGGCAGGAUCAGCUCUUGUCAUUCUCACUGACAAUUUCGGCCAACAUUGAUUAUCAUGUGUAUGUGUUGUUAUACAUCAGCAUCAUGGAUGACAUGUAGCAUUACUCAACUUCACCAUUGGUUGUCAACAUUUGGACAACAAUGAGAAGCAUCUCCCUUGAGACUUGGUCA